rnacentral:rRNA from 1 species
UCCAGGCCCUACGGGGUGCAGCAGGCGCGAAACCUCCGCAAUGUGAGAAAUCGCGACGGGGGGAUCCCAAGUGCCAUUCUUAACGGGAUGGCUUUUCAUUAGUGUAAAGAGCUUUUGGAAUAAGAGCUGGGCAAGACCGGUGCCAGCCGCCGCGGUAACACCGGCAGCUCUAGUGGUAGCAGUUUUUAUUGGGCCUAAAGCGUCCGUAGCCGGUUUAAUAAGUCUCUGGUGAAAUCCUGCAGCUUAACUGUGGGAAUUGCUGGAGAUACUAUUAGACUUGAGAUCGGGAGAGGUUAGAGGUACUCCCAGGGUAGAGGUGAAAUUCUGUAAUCCUGGGAGGACCGCCUGUUGCGAAGGCGUCUGACUGGAACGAUUCUGACGGUGAGGGACGAAAGCUAGGGGCGCGAACCGGAUUAGAUACCCGGGUAGUCCUAGCUGUAAACGAUGCGGACUUGGUGUUGGGGUGGCUUUGAGCUGUCCCAGUGCCGAAGGGAAGCUGUUAAGUCCGCCGCCUGGGAAGUACGGUCGUAAGACUGAAACUUAAAGGAAUUGGCGGGGGAGCACUACAACGCGUGGAGCCUGCGGUUUAAUUGGAGUCAACGCCGG